rnacentral:rRNA from 1 species
GAUGAACGCUGGCGGCGUGCCUAAUACAUGCAAGUCGAGCGAACGGACGAGAAGCUUGCUUCUCUGAUGUUAGCGGCGGACGGGUGAGUAACACGUGGAUAACCUACCUAUAAGACUGGGAUAACUUCGGGAAACCGGAGCUAAUACCGGAUAAUAUUUUGAACCGCAUGGUUCAAAAGUGAAAGACGGUCUUGCUGUCACUUAUAGAUGGAUCCGCGCUGCAUUAGCGAGUUGGUAAGGUAACGGCUUACCAAGGCAACGAUGCAUAGCCGACCUGAGAGGGUGAUCGGCCACACUGGAACUGAGCCACGGUCCAGACUCCUACGGGAGGCAGCAGUAGGGAAUCUUCCGAAAUGGGCGAAAGCCUGACGGAGCAACGCAGCGUGAGUGAUGAAGGGCUUCGGAUCGUAAAACUCUGUUAUUAGGGAAGAACAUAUGUGUAAGUAACUGUGCACAUCUUGACGGUACCUAAUCAGAAGGCCAGGGCUAAGUACGUG